GCAGGGGUACCGAAGUGGCCAAACGGGCAGGACUUAAGAUCCUGUGGCUUAGUGCCUUCGCAGGUUCGAACCCUGCCCCCUGCA
rnacentral:tRNA from 1 species